CAAAGGUYUGGUCCUGGUUUUUUUAUUAAUUAUUAGCAGAAUUAUACAUGCAAGAGUCAUCAUUCCUGUGAGAAUGCCCUACAAAUCAACAAGAUCUAAAGGAGCUGGUAUCAAGCACACUAACAGUAGCUCACAACACCUUGCUUAGCCACACCCCCACGGGAUACAGCAGUAGUCAAAAUUAAGCUAUAAACGAAAGUUCGACUAAGUCAUGCAAUUUCUUAUAGGGUUGGUAAAUCUCGUGCCANCCACCGCGGUCAUACGAUUAACCCUAAUUAAUAAACCCCGGCGUAAAGAGUAUUAAAGAUACAAUAAAAAUAAGAUUAAAUUUCAUCUGGGUCGUAAAAAACUAUAGAUAAAAAUAAAAUCGAUAACGAAGGUAAUCUUAAUAUAUCAGAAUAUACUAAAGCUAAGACACAAACUGGGAUUAGAUACCCCACUAUGCUUAGUUGUAAACACAGAUUCUUAACAACAAAAAUAUCCGCCCAGAGAANUAUUAGCAACAGCNUAAAACUCAANNGACUUGGC
rnacentral:rRNA from 1 species